rnacentral:lncRNA from 1 species
CUUUCCACAGGUUGGACCCCAUGGAGAUUAAAGGUGACGACGGUGGGAUGUGGUUGAGGAGCAAGUGAAGGGGUCCAAUGGUGUAAAAUUUAGGGAAGAUGGAGGAGAGAGCUUUGACGACAUCAUGUUCCAAUUCAUCGAAGGUGUUUACGAUUAUGGCGGAAGCUUUGGCAGCUCUGUCGCCCUCCGUCGCAAGGAAAUUCAACAUUAUAUCGUCUGGAUUCGUUGUUCGAACAAAGCUUGGAAGGUCUCUUAUGCGGAUGUUUUUCAUGCCCGGAAUCCAGUCGAUGACGGUAUCCAAAUACCCGUUUGUCAUAUAGGAUUCAUCUGCCCAAUGAGGAAAAAAUUGUUAGGGGUCAAAUUAGGAUUUCAGUCCUUUUACUAUGCUAAUAUUCGAGAUUUAUUAAAGAUGAAUGCUUAAGGAUGCAUUUUUAGAAAAGUUUUACUUUCUACAAUUUUAAUUGUUAAAAGUGAGGCUAUUUUACCAUCUUACCUAAAAAAAAUUAAUAUUUAUAAAAAUGACCCUAAUUUAAAAAUAUUCACCCAAAUAACUUAAAAUGAAUAAUAAAAUUAGUUUAUGGAAAGUAGAUGGCUGGCACCACUAUUUUUUCUAUUAAAAAAAUAAUUUUUAAAAUUUUAAACACUAGAUGGCUAGUAUCAUGUAUUUUUUUUUCAAAAUUUUUUGGGGCGCUAGCACACUAAUGACCAGCACCCCUUUAACUAAUUAAAAAAAUUAUUUUUUUGGGGUGUGUGGUGCUUGCCAAUGGCCAAAGUCACUCAACAAAAGGAAUGGACAUAUUGCAACAUUAGCCCUUCCUUGUUUUCCAUCUUUUUUUAUUUCCCAAGUUUAAUUACAUAUUUUAUAUUUUAAAAUAAUAUUGAACUACUUAUCAUGCUUUUUAAUUAUUAUUGCAUCACUCACAUUAUUAAUAAAUUAAAAAAUUAAUUUAAAUUUAAUAUGUACAAUUAAAUUAGAUUUUUUUGAUAAAAUUAGAACCUACUUUAAUAAUUUUCAUCUUUUAUAAUAAUUCAAACAAACAUUGCUAAAUUAUUGUUUCUUUUAUUUUAAAAAAUAACGAGCAAUAUAUUUAUAAAUUUAAUCUAUAGACGUUAUUUCUAAAUAUUAUUUUAUAAAUAUAUUACUAGUUAUUUUUUAAAAUAAAAGAAAUAAUAAUUUAGAAAUGUUUAUUUGAAUUAUUAUAGAAGACGAAAAUUAUAAAAGUAGGUUCAAAUUUUAUAAAAAAAAUCUAAUUUAAUUGUGCAUAUUAAAUUUAAAUUAAUUUUUUAAUUUAUUAAUAAUGUGAGUGAUGCAAUAAUAAUUAAAAAACAUGAUAAGUAGUUCAAUAUUAUUUUAAAAUAUAAAAUAUGCAAUUAAACUUGAGAAAUAAAAAUGAUGGGAAAAUCAAGAGGGGUUAAUAAUGCAAUAUGCCCAUCUCUUUUGUUGAGUGACUUUGGCCAUUUGUUGGCAAGCACCACGCACCCAAAAAAAAUAAAAUUUUUAAUCAGAUAAAGGGGUGCCAGCCAUCAGUGUUCCAGCACCUUAAAUUUUCUUUUUGAAAAAAAAAUGCAUGGGUACUGGCCAUCUAGUGUCCAAAACCCCAAAAAUUAUUUUUUAAUAAAAAAAUAAUAGUACUGACCAUCUAGUUUCCAUAACCUAAUUUUACUAAUUUUGAAUUAGGGUCAUUUUUAUAAAUAUUAAAUUUUGUUAAGUGAGAUGGGUAAAAUAGCCUAGAUGAAGUGAAGUUUUGUCACUAUUAUUCUACCACUGCCAUAUGAAAAUUGAGUGAAUCACUCAACUAAUAAUAAAUAUGCAUAAAAAUAAAAUGUUUAAGGCUAUUUAUUAUAAAAGGGUAAACUACACCCAUGGUCACUUUUGUUUACCUUAGGUUACAUUUCAGUCACUUAGGUUUGAAAUGUUACAUUUUAGUCACUUACGUUAUUGUGUUGUAACAUUUUAGUCACUGAGCCGUUAAUUGUCGUUAAUGGUGUAAUGGUAAGCUGACGUGUCACGUUAAAUCAUUAUUUCAAACAAAAUCUUUAGGUUAAAUUAUACAUUUGGUCCCCAUAAUUUUUCGUUUUGAGCAAUUUAAAUUUUUUUAUGUUCUUUUAACUUUCUUUCUUUCUUUUUUUCUUUUUUUUUUUUCCAUUCUCUUCUACUUCUCCCUCUGUUUUUCUACCUUCUUUAUUUCUUUUAACAUACCAGGAAGUCUAAUUGGUAGUGAAAAAAGAAGCAUGGUAUGGGUUUAUGGGUUUUGGUUAUAGGCAAAUGAUGGCAGUCGACUUCCUACUUCUUUUUUCAUUGCCAAUUCGACUUCCUAAUAUGUUAAAAGAAAUGAGAAAUGUAUGAAAAUAGAGGGAGAAACAAAAGAGAAUGGAAAAAAAGAGGAAAGUUUAAAGAACAUAAAAGAAAAAAAAUUAAAUUACUUAAAACGAAAAAAAUAUGAGGAUCAAUUGUAUAAUUUAACCUAAAAUUUUGUUUGAAAUGAUGAUUUAACGUGCCACGUCAGCUUACCGUUACACCAUUAACAACAAUUAAUGGCUUAGUGACUAAAAUGUUGCAACAUGAUAACGUAAAUGACUAAAACGUAACAUUUCAAACAUAAGUGACUAAAACGUAACCUAAGGUAAACAAAAGUGACCAUGGGUGUAGUUUACCCAUUAUAAAAAUAUAUGAGAUUUAUAAAAAUUUCAUUAAAUUAAAAUAAUAAGAAAUAUUUCAAAUUUCAAGAAACUAAAACAUAUUUACAUCUUUUAAAACAAUUUACUUAAGAAAACUUAAUCCAGUAAAUAUUUAAUCGUAUUACCGAUAUGGGCUAACUAAUAACAAGAUUAAAGUACUAAUUAAUAACAAUAUUAAAAUAAGAGAACUAAAUAUGUGAAAUUAAAAUAUAAGGGUUAAAUCUCAAAUUUAUAGCAUUACGGAGGGACAAAACUCAAAUUUAACCAAAAAAGUUUGAAAGAAAAACCAGACAGUUUUGUACCUUUCAAUGGUGUAAAACCCUCAUCAAUAAGCCGUCGGUAAUGGCAAUAAGCCAAGAAACCACAAGCACUGGGUGUCCAAAACAACACACCGGGAAUCCCUAACUCUUUAGCCGCCUCGAGAGUGAACGACAUGCACCCAUCGGCGACGAUACAAGUGACCGGCGGGACACCGGAAGUAGCAUUUAGCUUAACAAGGAGUCGGCGAAAGGGAGCCAAACAAUGCUUGCUAGUGGAGUCAGAAAGCGCGGGGAUGUCUUGCGUGGCGUCGAUGUCCGGCGGAGGAAGGCCGUCGGGGAUUGUCCCAAACCGGAAGUCAGGCAAGCCGUCGAGGGCGUGGGGGCCCCUGGAUUUGAGCAAGCGUUUGUGGUUGUACUCGGUGUUGACGAAAGUGAUGUGGAAGCCUUUGAAAUGGAGGAGUUUGGCCACUUUGAGCAUCGGAUUUACGUGACCUUGUGCGGGGUAGGGGAUGCAUACUGCAUGGGGCUUGUUGGGUAACGAAAUGGGUGCCAUAUUUUCUCUCUUUCUUCCUUGGUAUGCCUUACAACAAUGGUGGAAACCUAGCUUUAAAGGAAGCACCAAGUGUUUAAGCCAUAUAUUUUAGUGAUUGAAAUUAUUUAUAGGGUUAAUUCAACUAUGUUGUCCUCAAACUAUGAGUCAAAUUUUAAGUUGACCCCAAAAUUUAGAUCAUUCCAAUUGAAUUUCAGACUAGAGUAUCAUUCACUUACUUGCCAACUUGGAUUUGGUUUGGUACAUCUUUUAAUCAUGUAUGAAUUAAUCACAUAUUAGAUAUACAUUAAAUAUAAAAUAUAAUUUAAUUGGAAUGAUACUUUGGUUGGAGGAUUUAAUUGGAUUCGAUCAUGUGCUUUAUUUUUUAAUUUUAAAAAUAUAAUUUAAAAACACAACAGAUCACUAUUCUUAUAAAAAAAAAAAUAGGAAAAGUCAAAGAUUUGAGAUCUAAUUAAAAUAUUUCAAAUACAGCUAGCUAUGUAGUUACUGUGAUCAAGUAUCAUUAAAGCACGAGAAAUAGAUGAUUACAUAUUGUUAUCCAGAUUGUCUCACCCUUUUCUUAUUAGUUUAAAGGAAGAUUAGUUCCAUAUUUUAUCCAAUUUUAUAUUUUCCAGAUCUAGAUUAAGGGAAAUUAAGCUCUCUAGCACUAAAUGGACACAUGAAGACCACCAAUACUAUAUAUAAUUUAUUAUCAUAAACUACUAAAAAAAAAUUAGUCUCUCUACUUUAUUUUAUCCGUCUUUAUAUUUUAUGAAGAUUGAGAAAUUGGUCCAAUUAGAUACUAUUGUUAACCUUAUUAUGAAAUUGUUGACCUGUAAAUCUAUAUUUCAACAAAUAUAUCUAAGGUGUUUAUCUGCAGUUGUUUAUUGAAUAACACAACAGUUACUGGAAGUGCUUGCUGGAAUUGGUCACUACGGCUUAACACUGCAAAAAACUGUGCAAGCAAAAACACAAGGAACACCAAGGUUUCUUUACGCAGUCCCUACGUCUGUGGAGCUUAGCUUAGCGAAUAAUUCUAUUAUAUUUAAUCCACAAUACAAGUCACUCACACUCUAUUACUCUCAAAGUAUAGAGAUCUCACCUUUAAAUCCUCCCACUGAGAAUUUAAUUUAAGCAAUAAACACUAAAGGUUUACAAUUCAGUUUGCGCUCUCACACAAAACAAUUCCUCAAUGAACAAAUUUAGUGUUCUCAAUAUGCUCACAUACAUGACCUAGACAAGUCAUCUCAGCUUACUGACAUACUAAUUGAAUGAAUGCAAAUCAAGUCAUUGAAAAUAACUAUUACAACACAUUCAAUAAAAGCAUAAUGUGAUGAAUAUAUGAGCUUCCAAAACCAACAUCACAAUCUCAAUCAAUUCUCCAUGAGACAAGGGUUGUCUUGAUUCACUCAAAUCCAAUCCAAUAUUUAGCUUGGUUUCUAUAGAUAUCAACAAAAUAACUUGUCUAAAGAUUUUACUUCAUUAAGUUGCUAACUCAAAUAUGAUAAAAGUAACUUCUCCAUCUUAGUGGUAGAUUGCAACGGAUAUUGCUGAGUGCUAUUCAGCUCAUUGCAACACACUUUACCUCAAUAUAACAAAUGUACCAAAAUCAACAAUUCAACCUUUUUUUUUUCUAAUAACAAUUCAAUAAUUUAUAUAAAAAAAUUAUAGUUCAAAUAACAAAUUUUUAAUUUUCAAAAAUUGAAAAACUUGCAUCCAAUUGCAAGGCCGGUUAAAACAUUAUAGUAAUGCUUCUUAAUACACGAUACCUUAUUUGAUUUUAUUUAGUUUAAAGUGUUUUAUAUUUUAGGAAUUCGAAUUCCAAGUUAUUAUCUUCAAAUAUUUACUAAGCUCAAAACAUGAUUUAAUUUAAAAUUUAGGUACACUUAAAACUAGAAAUCACUUUGCAUUAAAUUAUAGGGUAAACUAUUUAGUUGGUCAUUCAAUUUUUAGGGAGUUUUUAUUUUGGUCACUGAAAAUGAAAUCUUUGUAAUUUCGUCACUCAACUUUUAAGGCACUUUCAUUUUAGUCACCCAACCGUUAAAUCUUUAAUGGCGGUUAACUGUAUACGCUAUACCAUGUUUUCAAUUUUAUUUUGGUCACCUAACUUUUAGGCCACUUUCAUUUUGGUCAUAGAAAAAAAAUCAUUUUUUAAAGUAUUGAUUGGGGUAAAAAAAAUUAAGGAUUAAAGUGAAAAAUAGUAGAAACUAAAAUAAUGUAUUAAAAAAUUGUCAAAUUGUACUUGUUUAUCACAUUGCUGAAAAUUCUAAAUUUCUUCUUUUUCAAUAUUGAAAUUUAAAUUUCAAAACGUAAAAAUCAAUUAAAUUUAAUUGUUGAAAAAUUUGUAUCCCAUGAUAAUAUUAAUCGAUUUGUUACUAUAAUAUUAAAAUUAAUUAAAUUAAUCUCCUUUUAAAAUUUAAAAUUUUAUUUUAUGUUUACAUAUUAUUCUUAAUGAAAUCAACUCAAUAACUCAUAUUUAAUAAUUGUCUACAAAACUUAAAAUUAUUUUAAUUAUAUAAUUUUGAAUCUUCCAUACUAAGCUAAAGCAAAGAAAAAGUAAUCUCUCUACUUUAAUUUAUCCGUCUUUGUAUUUUAUGAAGAUCGAGAAAUUGAUCCAAUUAGAUACUAUUGUUAACCUUGUUAUGAAAUUGUUGACCUAAAAAUCUAUAUUUCGACAAAUAUAUGUAAGGUGUUUCUACCUAUAAUUGUUUACUGAAUAAUAUAACAGUUAAUGGAAGUGCUUGAUGGAAUUGGUCACUAUGGUUUGGCACUAUGAAACACCGUGCAAACGAAAACACAAAGAACACAAUAACUGAAUCAUACUCUACUACUCCUCAAGUAUAGAGAUAUCACUUUUGUAUCUAAAAACUAGAAUACUCACCUCUAAAUCUCACUGAGAAUUAGGUAGUAAACACUAACCCUAUGUUUGCUUGGAUGGAAUUGUGAUUCCAUUUUGGGGACUAUUUUGGUUCACAGAAUACUAAUCUUCAUUUCGACAGAAUUCCUUAAAAAUGCUGAAUGGUCAUUCAACACUUAACCCAUGGAAUGGCUAUUCAACAAAUACAGGGAAUAGCUUAAAAUUUUUUUCUUCCUAGUGUACCCAUAAAAAAAAAAAAUCACAAAUUUACAAGCUUAUAUUUGACAAAAACCUGGGGACGUUAUUCUUUCACCAUUUGCUUCCAAACUUUCACUUUUCAUCUUUUUAUCGAGUUAAGGGAAAUGAAAGCUCAAAACGCUUGAAGUCGUCUCUAGAUAAGCAUCAAUUUCCAUGGGAGAAGAUUCAAGCAUCUUGGAAACUGAACAAUAUGGAUCUUUGAUACUUAAGUUUGAUUUGAGUUUUUGAGGUUUUUUUUCUUAAACUGUUUAAGAACUUGAAAACUAAAAAAUAUGAGUCUUUGAUGCUUUUCUCUGUUAAUCCCCACUUAUCUGAAUCCCUUUCUAUUAAUCAUUUAAUUUUGUUUUUGUUUUUGUUUUUUUAUUUUAUUUUUGGGUUUGUCUUUUGUUUUCAGUAAUUGACGGUGGUUUGAAAGCAAUAUUAGGUUAAAGGAUUUUCUUCAAAAGCCAGGUGUUUUCAGAAUUGAGAUCUAAGGUUUUUUUUUUUUUUUUAAUUUUUCUAUUUUUGUAAAUAAAAUCAACUUAAGGGGUGUUUUUUUAUACCUCAAAAGCUUGGUUUUUUAUGGUUAUCUUGGAUUUAAAGGGGUUGUCUAUUUUAAACAAAAACUUCCUUAAUCCUUUUUUGGGUUUUUGAAACCUGUUCUUAAAUUUUGAGAACCAGAGCAGCCGUAUUCAUCUACGCGCAAGUGAUUGAGAACCAUUCUCCAUCUAGGAAGGAUGGAAUGGACCUUAGAAGAGAGGAGUAGUUGCAAAGUCAUAUUGUUCUUUUCUUCAAGAGCUUGGAAUGAAGCUUAAAGUGUAAGUGCAGGGGCUAACUUGAUGAGAUGCUAAUUGCUUUCCAAUAUAUCACCAAUUAGGUCCUUAGUUUUUGCAAUUCUCAGGUUGUUUCGCAUAAUAUUGCUUUUGAAGCAUUAAUUUUCGUUUUGUGUUUUAUUAUGUGUAACAUUUUUUUAAGUGGUGAUUGAAAUAUUUCAAUUAAUUAUUUCAAAUUGAAAUAUUUCACAUAUAAUAAUAUUUGAAAUAUCAUAGUCUUUGGUUGUAUUGCUGCUGUUUUUUUUGGCAUAGUUGUCGAAAAUAUCCUCAACGUUUAUGGGUUCUUGGAUUUUUGUUUUGGAUUGACACUUUUAACGUUACGAUUUUUCAAAAAUCAGCCCAAUUUUAACAGGAAACAUGAGUUGGUGGCGUGCCAUCUAAGCACGAGGUGACGUCAUUAAUAAACAAAAUUGUUUAACACUUUUUUUUUUCCCAUUUUGUUUAACACUUCUCUUUCAAGAAUAAAUAUGCUAAUUCAAUCACUUCCUUCAAUGUCUUCGAAACAACCUGCAAUUGUUCAUUACAAAGAGCAUUUUUUUUGAAAAGCAAGUAUGGGUCGACAAUUCCGAUAAGCACGAAGGGGUUUGCUCCAGUUUCAAAAUUAUCAUCUUCCACCUAUCAGAAACCCUUUCACUUCCCUUGCCUUAUUAACUGCCAUCGGAACAAUCUUUUUGCGCAUGCAACUAUCUUUCAUUCUAUUGACAAAAUCUGAAGAAAAGAAAGAAAAAACCCAGAAUAAACCUAACCAUUAACAAUCCACAUAGAUCAUAAAUAGAGCAAUGUAACAAAGGCAUGAAACUGGGGAUAAAAAAAAGUACUGACCUUAUCCAUGAAAAAAGGGCCAACCCAUUUAAGAAAAACAACAACUAAUAACCCUAGAAAGGUAAGUAAAAUUUUCAACUUUUCCUCUCUCAUUAUCAUUGUCAUCAUCAUUGAAAGUGAUUGAAUUUUCAGAACAAGAGCUGAAAUUUCUCCUAUUUGGUUAGUGAGAAAAUUAGAGAAGUGAAUCAAUAAAUGGGUAGAUGAAUUGAAAAGCAAAGGGUAUCAAAUAUACCAAAAGUAAGCAAACCUAAACCAAACAAAGCAACUUUUGAUUUUCCUUGUUUUUUAUUAAUUAAAAAAAUAAAACUCUAAAAUGGGAUACAAUAAUGGGUCCUCUUUUUUCUUUUUACAACGGUGAGUACUCUUUUUACAACUGUGAGGAGUGAGAGGAAAGGGAGAGGUGGUGGGGGUUGGAACAAUGAGGAGUAAGAGGAAGGCGACGGCGAUGGGGGUUGGACACAACGGCGACAGUAGUUAGAGGGGAAGAGAGAAAGAGGAGAAGAAAGAAAAUUGAAACAAAAUAAAAAAAAAAUGUUAAACAAUUUAGUUUAUAGAUGGCUUCACCUAAUACUUGUAUGUCACACCAAAUAGGCUACUUAGUUGACCUACGACUAACUCACAUUUUUCGUUACAACUGAGCUGAUUUCUAAAUAAUCAUAACGUUGAGUGUGCGAAUCUAAAAAAAUAAUAAUUAAUAACUCAAACCCAUAAACUUGAAGGUAUUUUCCACAAUUAUUAUUAUUAUUUAAAUAAAGUUGAUCAUUCAUGUCCUUCGAGCAAGACUUCAUUAAUCAACCUAUCCAGAUUCAACAAGGACGGUCCAUCCAAACACGCAGCUUUUUCAGCUUUUCUCUUCCAUUCCAUGGCGUUUUCCCUCAUCUCCUCCCCUUUCCUUCCUUCCAUGAGCUCCCUCACUAGCUUCUCCACUUUCUCCCUCUUCACAUCAUGGUCGAUUUCGAUGCCGAUACCCCAUUCAUUACAAGCAAACCAACAAUUCGUUUGUUGCUCCGCGAAGAACGGCCAAGAAGCUAUCGCCACCCCACUCGAAAUGCUUUCCAACGUUGAAUUCCACCCGCUGUGUGUCAAGAACCCGGCCACCGCGUUAUGGUUCAAUACUUCCUCUUGCGGGCACCAGCUCGCCAUGAAACACCGGUCUUUAGUUUCCUCGAUAAACUCUGGCGGCAAAAUGGCCGAAUCCCCCCGUACCAAAUCGGGUCUAAUGAUCCACAAAAAAGGUUUUUUACUAUUAGCCAAACCCCAAGCGAAUUCAACCAUUUGAUUCGCCGUCAUCACCGUGAUGCUCCCGAAAUUAACAUAAACGACCGAUUUGGGUUCUUUUAAAUCUAGCCAUUGAAAACAUCGAGGCUCUUCUUUCCACAGGUUGGACCCCAUGGAGCUUAAAGGUGACGACGGUGGGAUGUGGUUGAGGAGCAAGUGAAGGGGUCCAAUGGUGUAAAAUUUAGGGAAGAUAGAGGAGAGAGCUUUGACGACAUCAUGUUCCAAUUCAUCGAAGGUGUUUACGAUAAUGGCGGAAGCUUUGGAAGCUCUGUCGCACUCCGUCGCAAAGAAAUUCAACAUUAUAUCGUCUGGAUUCGUUGUUCGAACAAAGCUUGGAAGGUCCCUUAUGCGGAUGUUUUUCAUGCCCGGGAUCCAGUCGAUG